rnacentral:snRNA from 1 species
GUAUGUGCAGGUGAUCUGGCUGUGACAUCUGUCACCUCAUUGAUUGCCAGGGUUGAUUUGGCUGAUCUGGCUGGUUAGGCAGAUGUCCCCUUCCUCCCUCACUGCUCCUUCCCAAAGCUGCAUGCUUGGUCGAAGAGGUCGACCACCCCUGUUAGAGGAGGACUUUUUCCUCAGUUAAGGAUAUAUAGCUGCGCUCUCAUCUAGAAACUCCAAACAAGCUCUCAAGGUAUGAUGCUUUUAACUCUUUUUGGAAGAUACCUAGAAGGAGAAUAGCUGGGUCAAAUGGAACCUCUAGUUCUAGUUU